UGUUUUAAUAAUUUAAUAAAAAAUAUUGGUCUUGUAAACCAAAAAUAAAUCAUCUUUUAAAACU
rnacentral:tRNA from 1 species